rnacentral:lncRNA from 1 species
GUAAUCAGCUUGCUCUCACAGUGCCUUAUUUCAGUUAUAUUACGUUCCAGCUUAUAAGAUGAACUCUUUUAUAUUGUAAUAUGCAUUUCUUGUUCAUUUUCUAUGUACAAAUAUUUGCAGAGUUGAAUAAAGUUAAAGAAUGACUAUGCAUACUGAUAUGACUAACUCAUCAUAAAAUUAACGUCACAAAUUUUAUUCAAUAAAUAUUAUAGCAAUGAUGCAUUUAAGAGUUGCUAUCAGAACAUUGUGGCCAAUGAAAUAUUGACCUAUCAACAUGAUGUUAAUUGUGAAAGAAAUGAUAUGAUCAUUCAGGCGAAAACAGUAAAGUAGUAGGUGGAGUAGGCCUAGGAUGUUAUGAAUUAUAUUAGGUGAACAUAAUAUUUCGAUGACGAACAGCUUUACUCUAACAAUUUGGAUGAUGCAUUCAACACCAUCAUGUACAAAGGACUAAUAGAAUAGUCCUUCCACUUUUUUGUCCAAGAACUUUAAGAGUAGUCAGAAGUCAUGUCUAGAUAAUACUUAGAACAACAACAACAACAACAACUAAAUAAAGCUGAAGAUGUGCUUCAAAUUCUAUUUUUCCAUUUCAUUCUUCGAUUCGAACCUCACACUAGACAAAAGUUCAAGGACGUGUACCUGAGUGUAGCAAAAACAAAUCCAGAAAAUUAGGCUAGAGAUUAAGAAGGAACAACAACAACAGUAAAUAAAUAAGGAAGCAACCAACAGAAUCAGCUAAAAACCCCAGCAAUGAAAAUAAUAGUGAAACCAGCUUAUAACCCAAACUUUAAAGAUCCAAAACUCAUUCUAUUUUGACUCAAAUGCAAGAUUUUGUCAUUUCAAUAAUUUAAACUGAGCAAUGAGGAUCAGAAACCAAAAACCGAGCAAAAUUUGAGUAGUUUUUAACAAGGAAAUUCAGGGAUAUUUCAGAAUGCCAGCCGUUUCAGUUUUUAGGAGUUUUUUUAUCUCUUGUCUCUGCCUUGCUAAGGAAGAAAGGAUGCCUUUAUAAGCAAGUCUUUAGGGCAGCAUAAAGAAAUCAGUUUUUACAUUUAAAACCUUUUUGAAUUUUUAUUUUUGCUUGAGUACCCUUAGUUUAAAAAUUAGUUUUUCAUGUAAGUCCUAAAGGCACCUUCCUAGUAGCUUCCUUAAUUAGUUAGGAGAGAUUCCAUAUCUUAAAUUUUCUAGUUUACCCCCUAGGACCAUGUUAUUUACCCCAAGGAACUCAUGGAUCAAUUCGACCCAAUGGUUUAAGCCAGCCUGAUUUUUACACGACUUGACCCAAGUCCGAGUCAGAAAUUUAGAAGAAUUGAGAAGGUAGAAAAUAAAAGGGCAAUUCGGAUUUCAACAAGACUUCUGAACCAAAUGCUCUCAACGGCUCAAAACUAAAGGAAACAAUCAAACAAAACUAACCUAAGGAAUUCAAACAAAACUAAAGAAGCUAAUAACUAACACUAAUCCUAAAUUAAAAGAAACACAUGCAGAGAUAAUUUUGAGAACACAUGAGAAAAAGAAGAGAAUAGAAGAAGAUAGGAGAAGAAAUGAAAAAAAAAGAACACUGAAAGUACCUAUUAAAACUAGGCGAACAAAAGUCUUGAACUAAAAUCUUCAAGGAAUCUUCAAUUUUUGACCGAAAUAGAACUUAAUCGUGUGUUUUCGACUGAAAACAUGCGACUAAAGUAGAUUUCAACCUCAAAUCUUUAAUAAACUCGCCGAUUUGAUUUUUGGAAUUUUAGGGUUCAUAUAUUCAAUUUAAUAUUCGAAGGUAACAAAGUAGAUAUUGGGAGAGGGAUAUUGUGUGGGUUCUAUGGUGUGGAUUUGGAGUGGAUUGGGAGUGGCGCCGCCGCCAGAGGAAGCUAUGGCGGCGCUAGGGUUGAGGUGUGUUCUCUGAAAUGGAAGGGAAAUGAGAGAGGUAAGGUGGAUGGGGAGGGUGGUGGUGGUGGUAGUAGGGCUUCAGAUAGUUAAAUAGUGAAGGGAUCCUUAGUUUACGAUCGUUUGAUUAAACGAGAUCAACGUUCCUGAAAGAAGGAUAUCAAAACGGUGUCGUUUGGAUCUCUGUGUUGGC